CCUGGGGACACUUUGGGGACACUUUGGGGACAUUGGAGUGGCCUUGGGGACAUGGGGACAACCCAGGGGUGGCUUUGGGGACACUUUGGGGACUUGGGGACACCCUUGGGGACACUUUGGGGACACUGGGACAUGGCUGGGGACACCGGGAGGGACACAGGGACAGCCUGAGGAUGGAUUUGGGGACACCAGAAAGGACAUGGGGACAUCCUUGGGGACAUUGGGACACCCUUGGGGACACUGGGAGGAACCUGGGGACACCCCUGGGGACGUGGGGACACGUUUGGGGACACCAGGAGGGACCUGGGGACACUGGAAGGGAUUUGGGGACAUCAUUGGGGACAUGGGGACAUCCCUGGGGACACUGGGAUGGGACCUGGGGACAUUCCUGGGGACACUGGGAUGUUUUGGGGACACUGGGACAUCCCUGGGGACAACCUUGGGGACACUGGGAGGGGCUUGGGGACAUCAUUGGGGACACUGGAAUGGCCUUGGGGACACCGGGAGGGACCUGGGGACAUCCCAGGGGACACUGGGAUCAACUGGAGGACACUGGAAGGGAUUUGGGGACAUCAUUGGGGACACCGAGAGGGACAUGGGGACACCCUUGGGGACAUUCCUGGGGACAUGGGGACAAUACUGGGGACACCGGGAGGGACCUGGGGACAACCUGGGGACACUGGGAGGGGCUUGGGGACAUCAUUGGGGACAGUGGGACAUGGCUGGGGACACCAGGAGGGACACAGGGACAGCCUGAGGAUGGAUUUGGGGACACCUGGAGGGACAUGGGGACACCCUUGGGGACACUGGGAUGGGCAUGGGGACAUCAUUGGGGACACCAGGAGGGACUUGGGGACACCCAUGGGGACAUUCCUGGGGACAUGGGGACAAUACUGAGGACACUGGGAGGGACUUGGGGACACUGGAAUGGCCUUGGGGACACUUUGGGGACAUUGGAGUGGCCUUGGGGACAUGGGGACAACCCAGGGGUUGCUUUGGGGACACUGGGGAC
rnacentral:lncRNA from 1 species